AUGGAAGCGUCUUUGGCGAUUGACUGUCCCGCAAAAAAUGAAGAUCAUGGUUUGGAAAGCGGUGAUGGGUGGCCUUGCUACUGCACACAGGAAAAGGUUCGACGCCAUAUUGAAACAAGGGCUACGUGCCCUGUAUGCGGUUCUGAAGAGGAAGGCUCGUUCCAUGCAUUAGUAUCGUGCGGACAUGCCAAAGAUCUAUGGGAUGAGAUGGGCAAGAUUUGGCCGAUUCCAAAUAAAGAAAUGAUACAGGACGUUGGCCGGGACUGGUUGCUACUGCUGCUUGCAAAGUGCUCGGACAUGGUGAGAAACAUGGUGAUUAUGCUUGUUUGGAGGAUUUGGCAAAUAAGGUCUGAUACUACUCAUGGUAAAGAGCAGACACCAACGCAUGUUUCUGCUGUUUUUUUUUCUUCGACAAAAGGUGAAUUUUAUUGGCUCAAUGGAGCAUCAAGAGGACACAAUACAAUGAGCGCACACCCGGCCUCUGCAUAA
rnacentral:rRNA from 1 species